UUUCUACUCCCUCCGUCCGAAAAUACUUGUCAUCAAAAUGGAUAAAAAUAGAUGUAUCUAAAACUAAAAUACGUCUAGAUACAUUUCCUUUUCUCCAUUUUGAUGACAAGUAAUAUUUCCGGACGGAGGGAGUAUUUU
rfam:Triticum aestivum genome assembly, contig: Triticum_aestivum_CS42_TGACv1_scaffold_592508_7BS